UCAGUAGCUGGUCUGAGAGGACGAUCAGCCACACUGGGACUGAGACACGGCCCAGACUCCUACGGGAGGCAGCAGUGGGGAAUCUUGCGCAAUGAGCGAAAGCUUGACGCAGCGACGCCGCGUGCGGGAAGAAGGCCUUCGGGUUGUAAACCGCUUUCAGGAGGGACGAAGCCACUCGGGUUAAUACCCCAGAGGGUGACGGUACCUCCAGAAGAAGCCCCGGCUAACUACGUGCCAGCAGCCGCGGUAAUACGUAGGGGGCAAGCGUUGUCCGGAUUUAUUGGGCGUAAAGAGCGUGUAGGCGGCCAGAUAGGUCGGCUGUGAAAACUCGAGGCUCAACCUCGAGAUGUCGGCCGAAACCAUCUGGCUAGAGUCCGGAAGAGGAGAAUGGAAUUCCCGGUGUAGCGGUGAAAUGCGCAGAUAUCGGGAAGAACACCCGUGGCGAAGGCGGUUCUCUGGGACGGUACUGACGCUGAGACGCGAAAGCGUGGGGAGCGAACAGGAUUAGAUACCCUGGUAGUCCACGCCGUAAACGAUGGGAACUAGGUGUGGGCGGUGUCGACUCCGUCCGUGCCGAAGCUAACGCAUUAAGUUCCCCGCCUGGGGAGUACGGCCGCAAGGCUAAAACUCAAAGGAAUUGACG
rnacentral:rRNA from 1 species